CAGAGUGAAAAUUUUUCAGCAUAAAGAUUAAGAAUAUAGAAGUUGGCUAGAAAUUGGUUUCCUGCAGAGCUUAAAGGUAGAUCUAAAUUCAACUGACAUUUUCAUAUGCUAUCUUAUAGAGUUAUGUUUUAUGUAUAUUUCUAUCUCUGCAAGAAAUAACUGCCCUAAUUAAGGUCAGGGGUCAUUUGUUUCCCUUUGCAUCCUACUAUGUAGCUACUCGAUUUACACUCUUGCUACAGGAGGUCAGAGAAAUUAGUUCAUGCCAUGCCCUAGAUGUAGAAGCUAUGAGAAAAAAUGAAUGUCAGAUAUGCAUGCUUUGCUAGAAUCAGAAUCACGGAAGAAUUCAAUGAGCAAUGGUGUAGGCAGCUUUUAUAUAUAGAAAAUCCAUUCCUAUGCUUUUAAUUAAAACUUAACUGGACAGCGGUGUACCGAUUCUGAUGCUUUUUUAUCAUGAGUUCUAGGAAAUAUAGUCUUAAAUAUCUUCAUUGAUUUUUUAAGAGUCCUGGUUUUCCUUAGUUUGCUUGCACCUGCACCUCAUAUAAUGAAUUUUGUUUUCAUAGGUGAAUUUGCCAUUGUUCCCUCCCUCCAUACAAUUAAGCACAGAAGUUGAUAAGUAAGGAUUAAUGAGCUGUGUCCAGAAUUGGUGGGUUUUUGGUCUCGCUGACUUCAAGAAUGAAGCCGCAGACCCUCGCAGUGAUUUUACAGUUCUUAAAGAUGGUGUGUCCGGAGUUCGUUCCUUCUGAUGUUCCGAGG
rnacentral:lncRNA from 10 species